AAUGAACGUUGGCGGCGUGGAUUAGGCAUGCAAGUCGAGGGAGAACCCGCAAGGGGGACACCGGCGAACGGGGUAGGAUCACCUCGGUGACGUACCCUCCGGACGGGGAUAGCGACGGGAAACUGUCGGUAAUACCCGAUGAUCUGGCGAGCUUUUGAGGCUUGUCAGCAAAGGUGAGAUUCCACCGGAGGAGCGGCUGAGGCGCUAUUAGCUAGUUGGGGAGGUAACGGCUCACCAAGGUGACGAUGGCUAGGGGGUGUGAGAGCAUGGCCCCCCACCACUGGCACUGAGACACUGGCCAGACACCUACGGGUGGCUGCAGUCGAGAAUCUUCGGCAAUGGGCGCAAGCCUGACCGAGCGACGCCGCGUGCGGGAUGAAGGUCUUCGGAUUGUAAACCGCUGUCGGAGGGGAUGAAGUGUACGGGGGCUAUCCCCUGUAUUUGACAGAGCCUCGGAGGAAGCACGGGCUAAGUUCGUGCCAGCAGCCGCGGUAAUGUGUG
rnacentral:rRNA from 1 species